AUUGGGAGCUGGGUGAGUCUGGUUGAGUUAAACUUGGGAACAAAUCAGCUGUCGAGGCUUCCAGAGGAUAUUCAGUGGCUAACAAACUUAGAAAACUUGAUUCUUAGCAACAAUCUUCUUAGGAGACUUCCUCGUGGAUUGGGUGAAUUGAGGAAACUGAGAGUGUUGGACCUGGAGGAAAACAGGCUGGAAAUACUCCCAAAUGAAAUCGGUG